rnacentral:sRNA from 1 species
UUGGCAGUGCUGAAGACUGUAGUCCUCUAUUUAUCCACAGCCUAAUUUCGAUGCAGGCAGACAGAGGGGAAGCUUCCCUACUUUGGCCUGCCAAUGCUUUCAACCCUGACCUAAGGAGACCCUCUCUAGAAGCAAGAAAUAAUUCAUUCUUUAUGUUUGUUUGGUCCUGGAUUUCU